GUUCUUUUCUUUAUUUUUUAUCUAGUUUUCUUUAAAACAUAAGAUAAAGUAGGAACUACUUUGUCUUAUGUAUUUUUUCCUACGCUUGACCUUCUUUGACCAAAGAAGGAGCUCAGCUCCAUUUCCUGUGAAGGGUGAGUAUUGUGGGAAAACGUUUUGUGACCCAGGAAAUCGAGCCGACUUAAGCUUCUCCUUGUGUCAGAGAAGGUCAGGCGUAGGAAAAAUACAAAAGACAAAGUAGUCUUAUGUUUUAAAGAAAAGAACAGAGGAAACCAUAGGAGAUAGGUAAGUUUUGUGUGCCAGUGCCGCUUUAAGAAUACAUUAGGAGGUCACUCUGAGUGUUGUGCACAGCUGGAAUAGACCAGAGAAAGCUCUCCAGCUCUUGCAGCAUAAAAACUCCCACAAUGCUUUGCUAGGUCAGCAGUGAUCAACACAGUAUGUACCAGUCUACAGGCACACGUUUCAUAACUUAUUCUGUGUUCAUAUAUUCUUUAUAAAAAUGUUGCCUUAAUCUUCGACUUCUCUUCAACUGAUGUAUUUAUUUAUAUGUAUCAAUUUUAGACUAAAUUUUGUAAUUAUCUGUCAAUUAUUUGCAAUUCCUGGUUUGAAAUUCCAUUGGCUGCUGGAAGGAUCUACAUUUUGCUUUUAGUAUUUAGUUAUGCUACAGUGUUGUAACUGCACAGACCAGAAAGAAUAGGUGCUGGAACCACAAAACAUGUUUUGUACAUAUUAUUAUGCCUUCAUUAUUUUCUGGUUAUAAUCCACCUAUAAGAGGUCUGUAAUUAAACAUGUGGUAUACAUUACCUGUAGUUGUUCCUAUAGAGCUUUUGCAAGAACUUGACCUAGGAUAAAAAUGUGAUCUUGAUUUGCUAUAGCCAUAGGUCAAGUGAAUGCUCAGUGCAAGGCUUGGUGCUUUCAAAACUUCAUGUCUGCACAUGUAGGCAACAACCUGUUCUGAUGUAGAACUUUCACUCUCAUGGUAAAAAAUUGUUUAUUUCUGAUGGUAGCAGGAAUAAAGAUCUGUGUAUGGUUUGUGAUGAGUUUGUGUGUUUUGUUGG